CUCUGCGGUAGAACGGGAGGGGGACACCUUCGGGUGUGCUGAUUCUUAGGUUCAGUCUGUCAACCCUUUCUCGUUCUGCCACCAUU
rfam:Acinetobacter sp. ANC 3832 Contig5, whole genome shotgun sequence.